GAUGAACGCUGGCGGCGUGCCUAAUACAUGCAAGUCGAGCGAACAGACGAGGAGCUUGCUCCUCUUACGUUAGCGGCGGACGGGUGAGUAACACGUGGAUAACCUACCUAUAAGACUGGGAUAACUUCGGGAAACCGGAGCUAAUACCGGAUAAUAUAUUUAACCGCAUGGUUCAAUAGUGAAAGACGGUUUUGCUUUCACUUAUAGAUGUAUCCGCGCCGCAUUAGCUAGUUGGUAAGGUAACGGCUUACCAAGGCAACGAUGCGUAGCCGACCUGAGAGGGUGAUCGGCCACACGGAAACUGAGAAACGGUCCAGACUCCUACGGGAGGAAGCAGUAGGGAAUCUUCCGCAAUGGGCGAAAGCCUGACGGAGCAACGCCGCGUGAGUGAUGAAGGUCUUCGGAUCGUAAAACUCUGUUAUUAGGGAAGAACAAAUGUGUAAGUAACUAUGCACGUAUUGACGGUAACUAAUCAGAAAGCCACGGCUAACUACGUG
rnacentral:rRNA from 1 species